GCAGUGGUGGUUCAGAAGUAGAAUUCUGACCUUGCAUGCAGGAGACCCAGGUUUGAUUCCCGGCCCAUGCA
rnacentral:tRNA from 1 species